UUGAACGCUGGCGGCAGGCCUAACACAUGCAAGUCGAGCGGAUGAAGGGAGCUUGCUCCUGGAUUCAGCGGCGGACGGGUGAGUAAUGCCUAGGAAUCUGCCUGGUAGUGGGGGAUAACGUCCGGAAACGGGUGCUAAUACCGCAUACGUCCUGAGGGAGAAAGUGGGGGAUCUUCGGACCUCACGCUAUCAGAUGAGCCUAGGUCGGAUUAGCUAGUUGGUGGGGUAAAGGCCUACCAAGGCGACGAUCCGUAACUGGUCUGAGAGGAUGAUCAGUCACACUGGAGCUGAGACACGGUCCAGACUCCUACGGGAGGCAGCAGUGGGGAAUAUUGGACAAUGGGCGAAAGCCUGAUCCAGCCAUGCCGCGUGUGUGAAGAAGGUCUUCGGAUUGUAAAGCACUUUAAGUUGGGAGGAAGGGCAGUAAGUUAAUACCUUGCUGUUUUGACGUUACCAACAGAAUAAGCACCGGCUAACUUCGUG
rnacentral:rRNA from 1 species